CACGUAGGGCGCAAGCGUUGUCCGGAAUUAUUGGGCGUAAAGAGCUCGUAGGCGGUCUGUUGCGUCCGCUGUGAAAACCCGGGGCUUAACCCUGGGCUGGCAGUGGAUACGGACAGACUAGAGGUAGGUAGGGGAGAAUGGAAUUCCCGGUGUAGCGGUGAAAUGCGCAGAUAUCAGGAGGAACACCGGUGGCGAAGGCGGUUCUCUGGGCAUGUCCUGACGCUGAGGAGCGAAAGUGUGGGGAGCGAACAGG
rnacentral:rRNA from 1 species